UAGGGUUUCCUUUUGCCUAUAAAUUACAGAGAAACGCGCUCUUUAGCCGUCUUAGAGCUUUGUGGAGAAACUUUGGUUCAUUCAAGAGGAAUUGCUGAACGUAGUGAGGCGAGCAGCCUAAAAGCUUGACAGGAUGAGAGCUAAGUGGAAGAAGAAGCGUAUGAGGAGAUUGAAGAGGAAGCGCCGAAAGAUGAGGCAGAGAUCCAAGUAGGCGCUUGGAACUUCAACGAGAUGGGGUUUUCUCCUGAUACCUUCAGAUUGCUCUGCUUGAAUGAUUGGAGGAUGAUGGAAAGCUUCAUUUGGUUUUGUCUUCUAGUUUUAGUUUUAGCAACUGAUUUUGAGACUUGUUCUAUUAAAUGUGUUGAGUUGCAUUUGACUUGUAUUUUGGUGAAAUGGAUGAUAAGACUUGUUUUGAAGGAUUAUGCACUAUGGCCUAUGCUUAAUCUACUAUUCUGUUCUGCAUGUGCCAAUUUUAAGUGAAUGGGAAUUUUCUAGAGGACAAACGUCCAUUCUGCUGGA